CCAGGCAAACUGAGGUCUGUGCCAGCACUCCUGAACAAUUAAACAUGGAAACUUGCUGUGCACACUGGCAGCGAGAGCCUCGUUCAGCCAAGACAAGGAGCCACAAAAUGAAGACAGAGCCACAUUCUCCUGGAAAAUGGCUUUUUCUAACUCACACGCAUGGGAUAGAGAGGGGACAGGUCAUUUUGGCCGAACUGUGGAGUUAAGAGUUUGCUACUGUUUCGAAGAAGGAAAUAUGGGGCAUAAUGUCACAAUCAGAUAUGGCUGUGCAUGUAUUACAUUACAAAGGGAAGACACUCAUCUAAUUUAACUACAAGCAAUUACAUGUGAACUGAAAGCUGUAUAAGAAGGCAAGUCUCUCAUCUGAACGCUGUUUUAACCUCCUCCAACAACCUGGCUGUCACAAUGGAAUGAAGCAAGAAAACCAUCUUUCCUGCACAUAAGUUGAAGAGGCACCUAUGCUGGUGCAAAACCUGUGCCAUAAACAAAAUCCCUGACUCUGGUACAGCGCCUGUUGUUUAAACAGAGGGCUGACUACACCACUGCUCCUGCUGCUCCUCACGCCGCCUCAAGCUGUAUUUCUCUGAGGAAGACCGACUGAAAGCUGGGAGCAGACUCCAGUGUGCUCCUGUGCCUAUUAAGAGUCAGUCAAAUUUAAUAAACCAAUAAAACCAGUGGAAAACA
rnacentral:lncRNA from 1 species